rnacentral:lncRNA from 1 species
GCUCCAAGAGUUGGCACCUAAUAAGAUUCCUAAUGUAAGUUGAAUAAUUUAAGUUAUUAGAAAACCUAAUGCAAGUAAGACUUGUAUUAUGAGAUUGAAUAGGAUUCAAUCUUCAUGCCUAUUUAAAGGGACAUCUCCUAAGGUCCCUAGUGCAUCCAACCAAUAGCCCACACCCACCUUUGGAGACCACCCACGCCCU